ensembl:lncRNA
CCCGGAGUAGGAAAUGGCAACCCGCUCCAGUAUUCUUGCCUUAGAGAAUCCCAUGGACAGAGAAGCCUGGCGGGCUACAGUCCAAGAGGUCACACAGAGUCGGGCACACCAGGGCAUUUGAUCGCAGACAGCCGUCUCUACCAACACCCCUCCCCGCCGACCUGCCACAGUGCCCACAUUGCCACCAUCUGCGUCACCCCGGGGAAAGGAGGAGGAAGCUUUGAAAGCUUCUGUCCAAGUGCCGUCCGUAGUCAGUGUGACAAUCUCUGGGCUCAUCCAUCUUGCUGCGAGUGGCGUCGCUUCAUUCUUCUCAACGGCUGAGUAAUAGUCCAUCGUGUACUAGGUACCGCAUCGUCUUUGUCCAUUCCUCUGUCAGUGGGCAUUUAGGUUGCUUCCAUGCCUUGAGUAUUUAUUUCAAAUAGGAAUGAUCUGGCUGAUCUGGGAGCUGGGGGGACGGUGGAACAGCUGGGAGGCUGGUGCAGUCCUCCUGGUAGCCUGGACUUGAUGGUGGCCACGGGGAAGUAAACAGAGGGAUUGGCAGUCAAGAUGUGGGUAGAAAGGGGGAGAGUCACAAGUGAGCACACUUUUGCGAUUUAGGCGAAGGCAGACUGGCGGACGCUUGCAGAGAUAUUGGGAGGUGCCUUUGUCAAACUCUCACCCCACACUGAGCUCCGAGAGUCUAGCUGCCGCCCUCUCGGGGGACCCUGACUCACAGUAGCCCCGGCGGGUCGGCCAACAGGUACCUCAGCCUCUGGGGACCGGGGAGACCACCUGCCUGGGGCCCCAUGUCAGGGCCCAGGCUGGGCUCCCGGACUGUGCCCAGGAUUCCAGAGUUGCUGAGGGGAUGAAUGAAUGAGAAAAUGUGGCCCCACAAAGUGUGACAACUUGGUUUAGCAUUUUCCUCUAAUUCAGCAAAGUCUCUUCCUUCAGCAUCUUUCCUGACAAAGAAAAAAUUGGCCAUUAUUCCUAGAGAUCCACUUGGUACUGACUUGAUUUCUUUUUUAAAA